rnacentral:rRNA from 1 species
AACGAACGCUGGCGGCAGGCUUAACACAUGCAAGUCGAGCGCAUCCUUCGGGGUGCGCGGCGGACGGGUGAGUAACGCGUGGGAACGUGCCCUCUUCUACGGAAUAGCCUCGGGAAACUGAGAGUAAUGCCGUAUACGCCCGCAAGGGGAAAGAUUUAUCGGAGGAGGAUCGGCCCGCGUUGGAUUAGGUAGUUGGUGGGGUAACGGCCUACCAAGCCGACGAUCCAUAGCUGGUUUGAGAGGAGGAUCAGCCACACUGGGACUGAGACGCGGCCCAGACUCCUACGGGAGGCAGGAGUGGGGAAUGUAGGACAAUGGGGGCAAUGCUGAACCAGUCAGGCCGGGUGAUCGAUGAAGGCCUGAGGGUUGUAAAGAUAUUUCAGCUGGGAAGAUAAUGACGGUACCCGCAGAAGAAGCCCCGGCUAACUCCGUG